UACGUAGGGUGCAAGCGUUGUCCGGAAUUAUUGGGCGUAAAGGGCUCGUAGGCGGUUUGUCGCGUCGGGAGUGAAAACCAGGUGCUUAACACCUGGCUUGCUUUCGAUACGGGCAGACUAGAGGUAUGCAGGGGAGAACGGAAUUCCUGGUGUAGCGGUGAAAUGCGCAGAUAUCUGCAGGAACACCCGUGGCGAAAGCGGCGAGCUGGAUCACUACUGACGCUGAGGAACGAAAGCUAGGGGAGCAAACAGG
rnacentral:rRNA from 1 species